CUCCUACGGGAGGCAGCAGUGAGGAAUAUUGGUCAAUGGGCGUUCUGCAACCAGCCAAGUAGCGUGAAGGAUGAAGGCUCUAUGGGUCGUAAACUUCUUUUAUAUAAGAAUAAAGUGCAGUAUGUAUACUGUUUUGUAUGUAUUAUAUGAAUAAGGAUCGGCUAACUCCGUGCCAGCAGCCGCGGUAAUACGGAGGAUCCGAGCGUUAUCCGGAUUUAUUGGGUUUAAAGGGAGCGUAGGUGGACUGGUAAGUCAGUUGUGAAAGUUUGCGGCUCAACCGUAAAAUUGCAGUUGAUACUGUCAGUCUUGAGUACAGUAGAGGUGGGCGGAAUUCGUGGUGUAGCGGUGAAAUGCUUAGAUAUCACGAAGAACUCCGAUUGCGAAGGCAGCUCACUGGACUGCAACUGACACUGAUGCUCGAAAGUGUGGGUAUCAAACAGGAUUAGAUACCCUGGUAGUCCACACAGUAAACGAUGAAUACUCGCUGUUUGCGAUAUACAGUAAGCGGCCAAGCGAAAGCAUUAAGUAUUCCACCUGGGGAGUACGCCGGCAACGGUGAAACUCAAAGGAAUUGACGGGGGCCCGCACAAGCGGAGGAACAUGUGGUUUAAUUCGAUGAUACGCGAGGAACCUUACCCGGGCUUAAAUUGCAGUGGAAUGAUGUGGAAACAUGUCAGUGAGCAAUCACCGCUGUGAAGGUGCUGCAUGGUUGUCGUCAGCUCGUGCCGUGAGGUGUCGGCUUAAGUGCCAUAACGAGCGCAACCCUUAUCUUCAGUUACUAACAGGUCAUGCUGAGGACUCUGGAGAGACUGCCGUCGUAAGAUGUGAGGAAGGUGGGGAUGACGUCAAAUCAGCACGGCCCUUACGUCCGGGGCUACACACGUGUUACAAUGGGGGGUACAGAAGGCAGCUAGCGGGUGACCGUAUGCUAAUCCCAAAAGCCUCUCUCAGUUCGGAUCGAAGUCUGCAACCCGACUUCGUGAAGCUGGAUUCGCUAGUAAUCGCGCAUCAGCCACGGCGCGGUGAAUACGUUCCCGGGCCUUGUACACACCGC
rnacentral:rRNA from 1 species